GAAGCUGGCUUGUCAUAUUUUGGAAUUUUGGUCAGAUUUUCGGAAUCCUCUGGUUUUAUCCAUUGGAAUGCAUUUACAAAUUUUGCCCGGUGACCCCCAUUUUUCUUUUUAUAAUUCUUUUACAUGUAUAGUUUUAAGCUGUCUGUUGAAGUCUUUUAAAAUUUUAAUUACUUUUUAAUAGUUUUUGAGGACUUUAACUUGUCAAUGAUAAAGCUAUGGAAAGUCAAGAGAGAAUAUUUUCCCGCCAAAAUUUCAAUGGCUAAUAUAUCGAAAACGAGCACGGCGACCUAUAUAUUUUUUUUGCUCUAUGGAUUCCUUUGUUAAUCCCCUAUCAAUAUAAACUAGUCUUUUGAAAAGUUAAUUACUUUGAAAGUG
rnacentral:lncRNA from 1 species